ensembl:lncRNA
GAGAGAAGGAGAGAAGGAGAGAAGGAGAGAAGGAGAAAAAGGAGGGCAGAGGAUGAGAGAAAGAUGGGUUGUCAGCUGGUGUGUCUCCCUGGCUGGUCUGCAGGGAAAGGGAACGUCUCCUCUGGUAUUCUCUCCCUCCCUCCUCCCUAAUGAGAGACAGAGCUGGAAAGGUCAUGUUUGUCCAUAAAGCGAGGACGAGUGAUGAGUUUAUGAUGUUGGUGCAGAUAAUUGACAACAGCUCAUAAAGAUGAUGAGAGCGAUAAGAGAGCGGAUCAUGGAAGUGCGCAAGGCGGGCCGGGCAGUCCUCAUGUUCAUGGGUCUCAUCUGCUUUAUCGCUGCCUUCACCCUUAACACCCUGGCCGGCCAGGGAUCACGGAGUGGUAUUUUUAAGCAGAGUACGGAGGACGUGACCCUGAAGUACAGGACCCCACUGUCUCCAGCCACCUGGUCUCUGUUCGUGUGGGACUUCAUCUACGUCUGGUUCUUCUUCAUGUUCCUCUACUUCCUGGCCGGCCUCUGCAGAAGGGGUGUGUAUGAGUGGAUGUACACCACUCCUGCUGUGCUGCCCUAUGGGUUCCACGCCAUGAUGGUCCUCAACAUGAGCCUGAACAUCACCUGGCUCUUCCUCUACCACCAAGAGAUGCUGCUGCCAUCCUUCAUCAUCUCAGCUCUGAUGUCGUUAACAGACUACCUGCUGCUGUUCUUCUCCUGCCAGGGCCUCAAGGUGUACGGGGCGUGGCUCCAAAAGCACAGCCCGGCUGACCUGUGGUUCCUCCGAGUCCUGGUGCAGAACGGGGUAGCGGUGUACGCAGCGUGGGGGAGCAUCUCCACCCUGCUGUGCCUGUCCGUCUACCUGGAGAACCGGACCGCCACGUCCAAGUGUGACUGCGCCAUGGUCUCCCUCGUGGUGCUGCUCAUGGAGCUGCUAGUAUGGUUCUUGUUGGAGAACUUCUACCUGGACGAGCAUGUGCGCUACGUCCUGACCGUUUACCCUGUGACCAUCCUCUGGCUGGCGGGCAGUGUCACUCAGUCGGCACUCCCCGGGAAUUACAUCUACGACUUCUCCGUGGUGAUCCUGGGCACAGCGUGCGUCAUGUUUGUAGUGCGCCUGGCCCUGGUGUUGUGGCGACACCGGACAAAGCCUCUCUACAGCGACCCCUUCACGGUCCCAUCGCCGGUGGAGAUAGCCCUGACCCAGAGGGGGGUCUUUCACUAACGUCCUUAACGUACCCCUGAGAAGUAGCGGGUGUUUGUGGCGGAGUGAGACUGUUUUUGUAGAGGAGUUGAGAGUUCGUCUGUAGCGGGGAUGAGCGUGUGUUUGGAGCCGAGUGAGAGUUUGUUUGAAAUCGAGGUGAGAUUGUGUUUGUAGCGAAGUUGAGAGUGUGUUUGUAGCGGUGGUGAGCGUGUAUGUAGAGGAAGUGAGAGUGUGUUUGUAGCAGAGUGAGAGUGUGUUUGUAGAGAAGUUGAGAGUGUGUUUGUAGCGGUGGUGAGCGUGUAUGUAGAGGAAGUGAGAGUGUUUGUAGCGGAAUCAUUUUAUAUUGUUCCGUUCGGUCCGCUGAUGAUUGUGCAUUCUUGUGUAUUCUUUAGUAAAAAUCACCUGUUAUAUGCUGCAUUUCCACUGUAUUUGAGCGGUCAUUUGAGGAGAGACAUAUCAGUUCCACAGUGAAUGAACAGCUGUCUGUAUGUAAAUCAUGUCGGCUUCAAUAAACAACAU